rnacentral:rRNA from 1 species
AGUGAACGCUGGCGGUAGCCUAACACAUGCCAGUCGAACGGCAGCACCGUAAGAGCUUGCUCUUACGGGUGGCGAGUGGCGGACGGGUGAGGAAUACAUCGGAAUCUACUUUUUCGUGGGGGAUAACGUAGGGAAACUUACGCUAAUACCGCAUACGACCUACGGGUGAAAGCAGGGGAUCUUCGGACCUUGCGCGAUUGAAUGAGCCGAUGUCGGAUUAGCUAGUUGGCGGGGUAAAGGCCCACCAAGGCGACGAUCCGUAGCUGGUCUGAGAGGAUGAUCAGCCACACUGGAACUGAGACACGGUCCAGACUCCUACGGGAGGCAGCAGUGGGGAAUAUUGGACAAUGGGCGCAAGCCUGAUCCAGCCAUACCGCGUGGGUGAAGAAGGCCUUCGGGUUGUAAAGCCCUUUUGUUGGGAAAGAAAAGCAGCAGGUUAAUACCCCGCUGUUCUGACGGUACCCAAAGAAUAAGCACCGGCUAACUUCGUG